UUUUUUAAACAACACAGCAACACAUAUACUAGAAUUGGAAGAAUACAGAGGUUAGCAUAGCUGCUGCAGGAGAAUAACAUGCAAAUUUGUGAAAUGUUUCCUAUUUUU